GUCCCAUAUAAUAAUAUAUAAUAACUAAAUAUAAUAUAAUACAGUGUCAUAUUGUAUAUUACAUCUUAGAAUUUCUUAUAUAACAUAAUAUAUUCCAGUUUAAUACAAUAAUAGAAUAUAUCAUAUAUAAUCUAUAAAAUUAUAAAAUAUAAUAUAAUUACAGAAAAAUAUUUAUUGCAGAAAUUUUAUUACAGAAUAAUAUUACAGGCAAAUGACAAAAAAUAUAAAUCUAACUUCCACAGAUAUAUAUGGAAUUUGAUGAAACAAUCCAAUAUCAAUAUAGAGUGGAUAUGAGGGAAAACAAACAAUUUGUUUUUCUAAAAGAAGCUUACGUAAAUAGCAUAGUUAUGAACAAAAUAGAAAUUAGAGAUUAGAAGAAAAUUGACCACAAAUCACUUGAUAUUCCCAAAGUUGGAAUUGAAAAUUAACAAUCACACAGAUCAUAAACAAAUAUUCACAACAUAAGGAGAAGUAACUAACUGCACUGUGACAUAAUAGGAAUUAUAAACAAAUAAAUAUCAAUAUUUAACUCAUACACUAAAUUUUAAAAGUAAAAUAGCUAAAUUAAAAGAUGUAGACUGUAACACACCAGUAAGAAGGAACUUUAACAUCUCUAUGUUCCACAUUAAUUCAAUACAAAAUCAAGAUAAAGCAAAAUAUAUAAUUGAAAACAAUGCUGGAGAAACUGGAAUUAAAAGACUUUUGACAUCCUACCAACUGAUACUGUCACAGAAUGUCCAAAUGCCUCAGAACCAUGUCCAACUUUUAUAAAAUUGACAAUAUACUAGAGCAUAAGGUAUUUUCCAAGUAAAGGAUAAAGCAAGAAUAGUUAACAUUUCUUUUACUGCCCAUAAUGCAAGAAAAAGAGUUACCAUUGUACAAAGCAUAAAUAAAACCUGCAGAUCGAAACAAUGAUUUAACAAUAAAUUCCAAAAUAAUAACUGGAUCAAAGAAAUAAAGAAAUAAAACAAUAGCAAUUGUUAGUUAUAUGAUUUUUUACAAUAAAACAACAUAUCAAAACCUCUGCAAUGAAAAUAAAGCAAUCUUUAGGGAGCAAAAAAAAAAAAAAAAAAACAUUGUAACACACACAUUAACAAAAUAGAAAAGGGGAAGAGUAAUAGAGUAAUAAAGCAAAUAUGAAUUUCCUAAAAAUUAGGAAAUACAAACCUAGUUAAAAUAAGAAUAACACGGGAGAUGUUUUAAAAUAGAGGAGAAAUAGAUAAAGUGAAAAAAAUUGUGGAAAAGAUAAAAAUCUAAGAUGUUUGAAAAGAUUAACAAAAUAAAUAAAUAAACAUAAUAGAAUAUAUCAUAUAUACUAAUAUACAACAAUAAAAUGUGCUGUACAUUACAAUACAAUAUAAAAUAAUAUAAGAUGAUGUGAUAUGCUAUGAUAUACUGUAAUAUAAUAUAUCAUCGAUUUUCAUUUAGAAUGAUAAUAUAGCAUCAUAAUAACACAAAUCCUAUAUAACAAUAGAAUAUAUAAUAAUA
ensembl:lncRNA